rnacentral:rRNA from 1 species
GCCAGACUCCUACGGGAGGCAGCAGUGGGGAAUAUUGCACAAUGGGGGAAACCCUGAUGCAGCGACGCCGCGUGAGUGAGGAAGUAUUUCGGUAUGUAAAGCUCUAUCAGCAGGGAAGAAAAAAUGACGGUACCUGACUAAGAAGCACCGGCUAAAUACGUGCCAGCAGCCGCGGUAAUACGUAUGGUGCAAGCGUUAUCCGGAUUUACUGGGUGUAAAGGGAGCGCAGGCGGUACGGCAAGUCUGAUGUGAAAGCCCGGGGCUCAACCCCGGUACUGCAUUGGAAACUACCGGACUGGAGUGUCGGAGGGGUAAGUGGAAUUCCUAGUGUAGCGGUGAAAUGCGUAGAUAUUAGGAGGAACACCAGUGGCGAAGGCGGCUUACUGGACGAUCACUGACGCUGAGGCUCGAAAGCGUGGGGAGCAAACAGGAUUAGAUACCCGCGUA